rnacentral:rRNA from 1 species
UACGGAGGGUGCAAGCGUUGUUCGGAAUCACUGGGCGUAAAGCGCAUGUAGGCGGGUCGGUAUGUCGGGUGUGAAAGACCGGGGCUCAACCCCGGGGCUGCGCCCGAAACUGCCGGUCUUGAGUUCGGGAGAGGAACGUGGAAUUCCGGGUGUAGAGGUGAAAUUCGUAGAUAUCCGGAGGAACCCCAGAGGCGAAGGCGACGUUCUGGACCGAUACUGACGCUGAGAUGCGAAAGCGUGGGGAGCAAACAGA